GACGAACGCUGGCGGCGUGCCUAAUACAUGCAAGUAGAACGCUGAAGAGAGGAGCUUGCUCUUCUUGGAUGAGUUGCGAACGGGUGAGUAACGCGUAGGUAACCUGCCUUGUAGCGGGGGAUAACUAUUGGAAACGAUAGCUAAUACCGCAUAACAAUGGAUGACACAUGUCAUUUAUUUGAAAGGGGCAAUUGCUCCACUACAAGAUGGACCUGCGUUGUAUUAGCUAGUAGGUGAGGUAAUGGCUCACCUAGGCGACGAUACAUAGCCGACCUGAGAGGGUGAUCGGCCACACUGGGACUGAGACACGGCCCAGACUCCUACGGGAGGCAGCAGUAGGGAAUCUUCGGCAAUGGGGGCAACCCUGACCGAGCAACGCCGCGUGAGUGAAGAAGGUUUUCGGAUCGUAAAGCUCUGUUGAAGUCAAGAACGGGUGUGAGAGUGGAAAGUUCACACUGUGACGGUAGCUUACCAGAAAGGGACGGCUAACUACGUG
rnacentral:rRNA from 1 species